GCCUCCAUAGCUCAGGUGGAUAGAGCAACGGCCUUCUAAGCCGUCGGUCCCAGGUUCGAGUCCUGGUGGGGGCGCCU
rnacentral:tRNA from 1 species